rnacentral:rRNA from 1 species
UACGGGGGGGGCACGCGUUGUUCGGAAUUACUGGGCGUAACGGGCUCGUAGGCGGCCAACUAAGUCAGACGUGAAAUCCCUCGGCUUAACCGGGGAACUGCGUCUGAUACUGGAUGGCUGGAGUUUGGGAGAGGGAUGCGGAAUUCCAGGUGUAGCGGUGAAAUGCGUAGAUAUCUGGAGGAACACCGGUGGCGAAGGCGGCAUCCUGGACCAAUACUGACGCUGAGGAGCGAAAGCCAGGGGAGCAAACGGG